GAACCCCAGGUUGUGGCCCUGGGCUGGCCCGAGCCCCGCUGCGGCAUCACUGCGGUGCACAGGCUGCGUCCCUCCCGUCAGAAGGAUGCCGCCCUGCUCAGGGACGCGCUGCCUGCGGCCCCGUGGGGCUGGCCUGGCACCAUGCAGGAGCCCUCCCAGCUCCCUGCAGUGUCACUUUGUCCCUGUGCUGGUGGCACGGGCUGCUGCUGGCCCGGACCUGGGAAACUUCGGAGCUGGCAGUGGCCGUGCUGUGCUCCAUGGUUUGUGAGCAGCUGCGGUAGCAGGAUGCCGGGGUGAGCUGCCGGCAGCAGCAGGCUGCAACUGUGUGGCCAUGGGUGUGUAAUUGGUGUCACUGCGAGCAGCUGAGCCCGGUGCUUUUAGGAUGUGAGUAAUUACACCAGCCUAAUUUUGAAAAUCAGGCUCUUAACCUCUUGCCAGGCUCAUUUGCAGGACAGCCAUCUCACAGUUGGAGCUGCUGUGCCAAAUUCCAGGCAGCUGCCAGCUUUCGUGCCACACUGCCCGCUUGUCCCCAGCCCUGAGGCCACCAGGAAUGGACAGAGCGCAUCUGUCCCAGCUGAGGGGUCCCCUUGCUGUGGCAGUGCCCUGUGCAGGAGGGGAGCUGCCCCCAGCUGGUGCCCAAGGGCUGAGCCCCCAAAGAGGGGCGGGAGGGCACUGGCACCCCAGUGGAUGCGGGAAGAGCUCUGGGUGCAGGGGCAAAGGGAAGCAAAUGGAGUGGGAUAGCUUCCUCCCCCCCCCUAUCCUCUGUGUUUAUUUUGAGUGUGUAUUUUCUGUACCUUGGAAGUGGGGUGAGGAGAGGGGACUCAGAGAAACUACUUGAGCUUUUCUGGGCUUGAGCUCCAAGUGCGUUUGAACGCCCAGCCAGCUGUAUGUGGGCUCUACCAGGCUCUCGUGAAAUACUUACUCCCUUGCUUUUAGGGCAGUUUUCUGCCAGUGAGAGAUGUUGUGUCUCCUGGAGGGUGGGUGGUUUUGAUGGUCAGAGGGCAGGCCAGGCAUGGCUGUGUUUUUCAUCGGCUGUGUCCCAUGAGCUAGCAGGCUGCUUUGAACCCUGGGAUCUUUGCAUCCUGCAUGGAAGUGGGCGGGUGGAGGUGUGCAAGGAGAGCACAUCUCAUCCGCCUGCCCCAGGCUGAGAUUGCCACGUGGCACUUGACCAGCAGGAGGGAGUUGACCCUCCAUGGGUCCCCAGCCAGCAGGAAACAUGGGCUGCCCAGGCUGGAGGAGAGCUGUGACCCCUCUGCAGGCUCUGCCAACAGCACGGGGCUGCACACUGGCUGCUGCGUGCCUGAGCUUCAAUCCAGGCUGCUGUCACCCAGGCACAACAGGGGCUGGCAAGGAGGGGGCUGUGUCAUUUGCAGACACCCCCUCUCCCACUGCCCUGCUGCACAGGGAUAAGACAUGCCAGUGGCCUCUCCUCCCCAACAGGACCACAGGGAGGGGACAAGCUGGAGAGCAGCCAGCCCGGGGACAGCCCGUGGCAUGCGAACGGCAUUGAUAUAUUUUCUUGGCUUGCCUAAGCGUCUGUUUGUUUGUGUGGGUUUAUCUCAACAGCAGCCGUGGCAGUUUGGCACGCAAUAUGGUAGCUGCUGACAUGUGCAGCUUCUCCGAGUGUAGCUCCGAGAUGUAGCUGCCCACACAGGCAGCGGGACGGGACGGGCGAGUGGCUCUGGGCUGGUGCUCACACCCAUCCUCACCUUCCUCCUCCCUGCUAACCCGUGGUGGCCCGUAGCAGCCUCGCCUGGUGGACCUUCCAGGUAGUUCCUGGUCCAAGAAGUGCCCAUAGCGGUGGUUUGGGUAGUGGUGCCAUGCUUGCUGCCCCUGGAACCCCACUGUGUUUUGCAGGUCCCUCUGUUUCGUGCUGCCCCGUGGGUGGUGGGGAUGAGAGGCAGCUUGAUUCGGGCUCCCCAGCCCUGGUGCUCUGCCUGUUGGACCCCUGCACCCCAGUGCAGAGAUGCCGCUCAGUGCCGUGGCAGUGCGUGUCUCAGGCUGAGCUCUGCCGCCUUUGCUGCCAAAGCUUUUUUUUCUUCCUUCUCAGCUCUUCCCUUCAGAGACUUGUUUAUGGCCGUCAGGAUCUGACAGGCUCUUGGCACCUCUCCCACCCCCAGCAGAUGACAUGGCAGCAGAGCCGCCCGCCCUCGCCCGCUUCUCCUUGCCCUGCCGCUGUGGUUAGGGACCUGUUGGGACGGAUGCCUCUGCAGGGAAAUCGAGCUGGAGACUUCUAGAGCCAGAAAAGACCUGGCACCGGGUUGACAGCAGCAGAAGCCAAAAGGCUCAGAUGGUUUUAAAUGUCAGGGAGAGGUGUGAAUGCAUCUCAGAGACAGCAUGUCCAGGAGCGAUGGCAUUUUGCAGACAGCCUGAACUCUGGAGCCAGCAUCCCCCCUCUCGGAGCGGUGACUUUGCCCCGUCCUGUGGCAGGGCAGCACUGUGCCCGCAGCGUGGGGGGUGUGGGUGUCCCUGGCCCCCGGUGCUGAGGAGGGCAAUGGGGCGCUGCCGGGGGCAGAGCUCUCCAUGGGCUGAUGUGCAAGCGCCCGGCGUCUCCUGCUGCUUGUCUGACCUUUCUCCUUACGCAGUGAUCUGCCCUGACACUUGGAGGCGGAGCGGAAGGAGGCGGUGGUCAUCUUCUUGCUUUUGUCACCGCGUGUUUGCCUGCUUUCCUCUGCCACCCCCCAAAAAGAGUUUGAAGUCUCCAGGAGUCAGCAAGUUCUCCGUGCCAGCCAUCUGUCCCAUUUCCCCUAGCAACCAUUUGUCCUUUUCUUCUUCAUUAGGUAGCUAAAGCAGAUCCCGACUGUCAGACCCUCUCUCGCCUCCCUUUUCUCCUGCGUUCGGCUCUCUGGAUCACUGCUCCCGUUUGUCGCUGUCGCACAGGCUCCUCACCUAGAAGCAUGAUGCCGUCCCACGCGGGGACGUGUCCCGCUCGUGUUGUGACAGCUCUGCGUUUGCUCACGUUCUGGGCGGGCGCUGGUGUCUCCGCCUGCGUGCUGGCUAUUUCUUUACAGCCUGAUCUUUUCCAGCUCCCUCGUCCUGAUCCACACGCUGCUUCCUCAGCCUGCAUCACGUUUCUAGGUCUGUGCAGGGACUGGGGGCUGGCGCUGCUCGUGUCCCUGCAGCAUGUCUGGGCCCUGGCCUGCCUGCUGCUGCCGCAGGGCAAAGAUGAGACACUAAUUUCUAGGGAAGUGGCUUUGGAGAGGUAGAACCAGAGCUGUGCCAUGCGUUAAUCUGAUGGCUGCUGUUUUAGCAGAUGAUGUGGGUGUUGAAUUGGCAGUUUCCAGGACAGAACAGCUCAAAUCACAGCAGCCAAGGUGCAUGUACACAGCUGGGUCUCAGGGUGAUCGCAGCUCUCCAGCUCCUCUGCCCUGUUCUGGGUGCAGCUGAGCAAUCGGGGUGUCUGGCACUGCCUGCUCAGGCUCCCCAUCCUCGUGCUGCCUCUGCUUCACAGCAUGAGCAGGCGGGGGAACCUGGCACCCGGCAGAUUCUCCACAUUUGCUUAACAGCCCUGCCGCCUCACCCCGGCCGCUCGCCGCUAGCUGUCUUUCUGCUGCUUCCCCAGGCUGUGGUUCAGUGCCCGAAGAAGGAACAGUUGGGGAUUUGCAGCUCUUCUCCCAUCAGAAAUGGGUUCUGGGCAGUGAGGGCAGCUCCUGGAGGCCACCUGGAUGCAGUGCUUUGGUUGGGCCAUCUUGCCCCUCUGGGGUUGAGGGUAAGGCUGUUGGUGUACCACCGAACCCAAAAUUCCUCCUGGAGGAGAGAUCCCCAGAGGCAGGCUGCCCUCCUCAAAGCCAAGGCCAUCUCGGGCACUCGAGGCACAGGGGUGACACCUCUGCUGCUGUUGGAAGCGCUGAGCAACCUGUGUUUGAGGGAGUCUCGUGUGCUGCUGUACUGCCUGUACAAAUGGGAGCUGCUGCCUGCAAGGGAAAAUCGGGAAUUUUUCCAUGGGGGAAUUAUUCUGGGAUAUUUCUGGGUGAGGUUCUCACUGGGGAGCACUCUCCAGGCGCGAGCAGAGAUUUCCCCUCCAUCAGGUCAGAGCUGGGCUGAAGCCAAGUGUGUUAGAAAGGUCUUUGAGGUUCUGGAGAACUGAGGGAUGGCCCCGCAGCCUGGUGUGAGGAGUGGGAAAGGAGCCAGGAGCAGAGCCAGAGAGGAAUCCCUGAUGUGAAAGCUCUCUGUUCAGUACAACUGCCUAAGUCCCGUUAAUGAUCACCUCCAGAAACCAGCACGGAUUCCCAAGCUAGCAGAGACAGGAGAGCAUUUGGCCUAAUGAAAUUAUCCAAGUGCCCUGGCUCCAGCUGCUGUUUUUUAAUUGCAUCUGACUGAUGUCCAGACGAGGCAACUGGGGAGCAGUGGCAUCCUCUGUGCAGCACCUGCAUCCUCUGUGCAGUGCCCACAUCCGACAGCGGUGCUCGCAGCCCCCUUGCUUCCUGGGAGGCUGCAGGAGCUGCGUGGUGAGGAUGUGGCAGGCUCAGUGCUCUCUUACGGCCGCUUCUCUCUGUCACUGACAGGCACAACGCAGCUGAACUGCAAACUUUUCUUUCCUGCUGCAGUGAUGAUUGCCAUUGCAGGAACUUUACAAGCCACCAGCAGUAGGGAAGGUGCUCGUUCUUGGUCAGCCCAUGGGGUGAGCUCCCGUGGUUUGACACCUUGGCUGCUGCUCUUCUGCAGGGAGGCUGUGCUCAUGCCACCUGACUGAGUCCCGCAGGGCCCUGGGAAAAGGCCAACUCUCCUGCUUGUGGGGGUGAAUGCAUCCCACGUCCCUUAAAGCUCCUGUUAAAAAUCCUGAUUCAUUUCUGGGCUGGAGCUCUCCUUCCGAGUGAGGUUUUAGCAACGAGGAUGGAGCCAAGGGCAUUUGAGAGGUGGGCGGUGGGGAGGAAUUAGAGCACACAGGAAUUCAGGGGGGUCGAGCAGACGAAAGCGGCAUUUGUUGCACCCGAAUUAGGCAGCGCUGUGCUGAAGCCAGGCCCUCUGCUGGGCUGCCAGCACUGUAAGCACAGCACCUCGAGUUAGGCCCCCAGGAUGAGGAGCUCAUGGGCUUGCAUUUUGUCCCCUCUCAGCUUCUAGGGUUCAUUUCUGCUUCCUUUUCCUGCAAAGCCAUGAGGCUUUAUAAUCCAAGGCAAGCUUCAACACGGAGAAGAAAAAAAAGCUUGCUGAGAUUGAAGGGUUCCUCCAGGAGGGAGGCGGAUGGCCAACGUAUCAACAGCCCCCAGCACUGCUCUGACCACCCACCAGCUCCUCUCUGAUGGAGAGGCCACCUGCAACUGAUGGCCAAGAAAAGGCCCUGAGCAUUGCUAACCAGCCUCAGCAGCAGGGAGAGCUCCAGUGAAACGUUAUUUAAUGUUCCUCUUCAGUGGAGAUGGCUAUUUACCAGUGAGAAAUUUCUGGGCUGAGGAGUCACAGCUUGGGUAAUGCUGGAUAAAUGUCCUUGGGAGGGGGAAGCGCUGGCGGGAUUUAUAGCAAGUCUUUGAGGCUUGGCUUCCAUAGUUAGAUCUGGCACAGAUUUAGAAAAGCAGCUGGAGAAUGAGUUUGUGCUUGGAAUCAUUAGCAGCGAGGGUUGUGCUGAAUUACCAAGCGCAACCCUGGGGAGGGGGAAAACGGUUUCUAGGCUUUUUGUCUAGGCCGGUACAAUAACUGCGUGUGCACACGUGUAUUUACCCUGCCGAAAGUGAACCCAAAGCACUGAAGGCAUGUGGUGCCCUGGCUCCCUGUGUGGAGGGCGGCUUGCAGGAAGGAUGGAUCCUGCGAAGCAGAACCCGGGGAGCAGCGAUGAGGCAAGGAGCUGCUGGGUUAGCUGGGAGCGUGCUGGCAGCGCACUGCCCAGCUUGUCCUGCUGGGACCUGGCUGCAGCCCCACACCUCGGUGAUGCUCUGCCUCUCUGCCUCUUCAGGUGCCUGGCAGAUGCUGCUGUGAAUGAAGAGGUCCUGGUCUGCCCUGCCUGAUUUUGGGAUUCAGCUCCAGAGCAGCCUGUAAACCCUGGUGUGUCCCUCUAGGAGCCUGGCUUUGUGCUCCCACCAUCUGCAGAACAUUUGUCCCCAGGUUAGAGUGGCUGAGGCUGGGGAGCUCUGAUCUCCGAAGUGAGCCCCAGCUUGCAGGAAGGAACUUGUUUCAGGGACCUGAGCACACAGCAUGGGACAGGAACAGAUCUAGAUGCUGGGCUACUCCAGGCUGGAGCAACCCUAGCCUUCUGAAAAGCAUGAAUGGGGACAAGACAGAGCUUGCAUUGAGUGAGUUUGUGGUUUUGUCCCCAACAGGACCCAAACAUCUCUCCUGGGAUGUGGUGGCUGUGUGUGUUGGGACUGGGGCUGUUUCUGUGACCAUCGAGGCAGAGCAGGUUUUCAGGGAGCUCUGGUCAUGGAUAGUGAUAGACCUGGCAGCCAGUCUGUGGGGAGCUUCUCCUAAACUGGGUAGAACCAGCCUGAAGGCACUGGUUUCGAAACACUUGGGUAGUAGGAGCUGAUGGCUCGGGCUGGUUGCAGGCAGGAGCUGACGCUGGGUGGUGAAGAAGAGCUGGCAGGCUGGGGAGGCACGGCUAUGGCGGUGCUGAAGGCGAAGACAGGCACUUGAUACGAUGGAAUUGGGGGCCAGGGAACCCUACUGGCUCAUUUUUUAAAGUUGUCCAAUUCUGGUUGUAUCUGGCAUUGGCAACAGUGCGGCGUUUCUCUGAUUUGCAGGCACUCUCCUGUGGAAACAUGGUUGAUCGACAUUCCCCGGAGUGAGAGAUGGCAGAUGUAGGGCUUGUCACUGAUGCACUUACAUUUCUGUGCCAUCACCCUGGGCACUCAAAGCUGAACUCUCUCAUUUUCCCCAGGCUGGGAAGCUUGUAAGGUUUCAGAGCUCCCAGGGGCGUCUGCCCACCGCGUUGGCUCGGCUCUGCUGGGAACGGCUCGUGCUGACAGGAGGGCUUGGAAGUGCCACAACGCAGGGUGAAACGAUUUCUCCAAACACUAUAAUUGGCACCUGCUUUUCAUCUAAACCGGAGCCACUUUACACCUGUCUGGCAAGAUAAAGGGACUUAAAAUGAGCAUGAGUGCAAUUCUAUUGCCUGUGCAGUAUACAAAGAUCUCAGCAUCAAUGAAUACCGGAGCUUCAAAGCUUUUGCUGGAAGUUUUUCCACCACCUAUAGUUCUGUUGGGCUGUUUUAUUUUCCAGGUACGGUGGCGUUCACCAAGUGGGCCAUUUGAAGAGCUCCCCUUGCUCUGAGGAGGAACGGACAGAAACGUGUGUGCCGCUAACUCCUGCUGGAUGAACCUGCCUGUUUUCUGGGACCUGUACUCGUACCACCGGAGAUGGUUUUUGCUGCUUUCCUAUUCUUUUGCAGUAAGAGCCUCUCAGUGAUGUCCUGGGGCACCCCUCUGAGCCUCGCAGAGGCCUCGUUUCCCUCUCCGUCCCGCUACACCGGGAGGGAGCUUUUGGCUGAGAGGUGCCCGGGGGCACCGCCGGU